AUUGAACGCUGGCGGCAGGCUUAACACAUGCAAGUCGAGCGAGCGGCGCACGGGUGAGUAGUGUCUGGAAAACUGCCUGAUGGUGGGGGAUAACUACUGGAAACGGUAGCUAAUACCGCAAACCAUCAGUUGCGCCCAGAUGGGAUUAGCUAGUGGGUGGGGUAAUCGAGCACCUAGGCGACGAUCCCUAGCUGGUCUGAGAGGAUGAUCAGCCAAACUGGAACUGAGACACGGUCCAGACUCCUACGGGAGGCAGCAGUGGGGAAUAUUGCACAAUGGGCGCAAGCCUGAUGCAGCCAGGCCGCGUGUGUGAAGAAGGCCUUCGGGUUGUAAAGCACUUUCAGCGAGGAGGCGGUACCCGCAGAAGAAGCACCGGCUAACUCCGUGCCAGCAGCCGCGGUAAUAC
rnacentral:rRNA from 1 species